CAACCUCUAGCAUUAAUGGAUUAAGCAACAGCCUUCUAAGCUGAGGAUUACAGGUUCAAGCCCUGUGAGGUGGU
rnacentral:tRNA from 1 species